ensembl:lncRNA
AUCUCAUAGACGCGAAUGGAUCUUUUUCUCAUGGAUGUAUUAUGGCUUGUUCUGUCUGAUAGCAGACGUUGAAUUAGUGCUUAACAACAAUUUAUAGAGACAAACAGCAAGUGUGUGUAUUGUCGAUAUAAUAAUAGCAACUUCAGAUAACUUCCUGACAACAGAUGUGGUAUAUAGCUACAUGUAAAAGUUAAAUACCAGCGAGUCGCUGUCGUUUUAAAAUGGAUGCUAAUUAUGAUACAAUUAUGCUUGAGCUAAAUAAUCAAGUCAUCUUUGAUUCUGAUGAAACUAAAGAAGAGCAGGAGAGUUUUUUGUUUCACGAGAAGGACUCAGAUGAUAUUCCCCCAUCUCUGCUUAGCUACUUUGAAACCUCAAAGAGCAGAGCAGCAGUUUGUGAGAAGCUCAUCCUUGAGGAAAUUGAAGACUUCACUGCAUCACAUCACGCCGACGACACGAUGAACUUGCCAUUUGAACUCGAUAAGGACAUGAGGAAACCGAAUGAGCAGGUAAAUGUCUCUCUUUACUAUUUUAGUCUCAAACUCUUACUGUAUGAAGCAUCCAAAAUACAAGUUGUGGCAAACUACUCGUAAGUUAUGUUUUGCCUGAUACAGGUGACUUGUGACACAGAAAAUGAAGAGAACAACACUUCCGCUGACACCCUGCUUCCUUCCUGCACCCACAGAACCACUUUUCACUCACAAUGUGUCAGUGUGUACCAACAAUGAAGCUGGAACAGAUGAAUACAUGGAGAGUGAGAAGCAUUUUGCAUUUGAACUUGAAGCAGAGCAAGAAAAACGACACUGUGAGAAGAAGGAGGAGGAAAGGAGACAAAUAGAAAGAGACUUCCAGAAGGAGCUGAAGAAGAUAAUGGAGGCCGAGAAGCUGCAUCAGAAGGAGUUUGAGUUGAUGGGGAAAAGAGCUCAGCAAAAACUUGAACAGGAGUUGCUGCUGCAACAGGAACUGAUCAGAAACUUACAGAGACGAGUGGAGGAAGAGAGGAGGAUGAGGGAAGAGGAGCAGAAGAGGAUAAAGGAUGAGGAGGACAAGAGGAAAAGGGAAGAGGAGAAAAUCAAGAUAGAGGCAGAGAGGAAAAGAAUGGAGGAAGAGACAAGGAGGAAGCAAGCGGAAGAGAGAAAAAUAGAAGAGAUAACACUUAAAAAAGAAGAGGAGAGAAAACAUAAGGAAGAGGAAAAGAGGAGAAUGGAAAGGGAGGAAAAGAGGAAGAGAGAAGAGGAAAGAAUCGAGAUUGAUUUGGAAAAGAACAAGCUAGAGGAUGGGAUGAGAAUGACAAAGGAGAAAGACGAGAGGAAAAGGGAGAAGGAAAGACAAGAGACAGAAGAGGCAAGGAAAAAGAUGGAGAAAGAGAAGAGAAAAAUGAAGGAAGAAAUUAGCCUGGAGGAGGAGGAGGAGGAGGAGAGAAAAACGAGCAAUAAAGAAGAUAUGAGAAUACAGGAGGAGGUGAGAAGAACUAAGGAGAUUGAGGAGAGAAAGAAGCAGGAUGAGAUGAGGACAAAUAAAGAAGAGCAGGAGGCUGAUGAUAGAAAAACGAUGGCUCAGGAAAAGCUUAAUGAAGAGAUGAGGAGGCGGGGUAAAAGUCAAGAUGAACAUGCAGAUGAAGAAAUAAAGUUUGUGGAGAGGAAAAAGAAGGAAGAAAAGGACAGGAAAAAAACAGAGGAGAAGAGGGAGGUGAAGGAAAUGGUAAGAGAAAAGGAAGGGGAAAACAGAAAACUUAAAGAAGAACUUAGACCCAUCGAAGAGGAUGUGGAGACGAAAACGGACUAUGAAAAGAAAACAAUAGAGGAAGAACAGAAGAGGAAGCAGAGGGACGAAGUGUAUUACAGAAUAAGGCUUAAAGAGGAUCAGGAGGGGUACAAAGGCUGUGAUGUGCACAACAGAAAGUUGGAAUGUGAGAGCAAAACAAAAGAAAAGAAACAGGAGGGGACGAGCAAAAGGGAGGAGGAGAUAAAAAAUGUGGAGAGAGAGAAGCAGCUGAAGGGAGAAUUUAUGGGAGAAACUGAGAAAGAGGUUCCCGAAAAAACAGAAAAAGAAAUGAGACUUAAAGUAAAGGAGGGGAGCCAAAAGAGAGUGGUGCACGACAC